GACAACAACAAUGGAUCACAUCGUGUGUAUUAUAAGAACAAAAUGGGGGGAAAAGACGUGUGCUGGUGGUCACCGGUGCUCGGGAGAGGACUUUCAUUCAAGGAUUGCUUGAGAGAGGGCGCCAUAUGAAAUCUCGGUCCAGUCCGCGAAGAAAAAUAAAACGGCUCGCGGACCUUCGUCGUUCCCCUACGCCCGAGUACAAGAAAGCUGAUAUUGGACGACUCCCUUAUUAGAGACUUUUAUGCGGCUCACCCGGGGAAACCUGGUAGGACGCCGUUGAGAUGGGGGUACUGUCAUGAGCUGUGCCCUGCAGUCCUUUUGCUGAUGCGCGGGUGGAGUUUUGCGCUCCUCUCGCCCUCUCUCUUUCCCUCCCUUUCUCUCUUCCCAGUAAUCAGCUCGGCCGCGCACCUGUCAUCAAUCAGCCCUCAUCAUCACCCGCAUAAAAGCCUGCCAGAUCCCGGAAACUCUCGCCAGAGUAUUAACAUUCUCCUGUGUGCUCCUUCCGUGUUCCCUGCCGUGCUGACCUCCUCCACCACGCCGCCAAGCCCUCCCCCUGCUCACGGAUGGAUCACACAUCAUCAUCAAAUCAGACAGAAUGUCAAAUUGCUAUUUUUUUCUGUCCGCAUUGGCACAGCAGCUGAUCAUUUUAACUGAGAAAACUUUCCAAAAAGUAGGUUUUCAGUGACCGAGAGUGUAGUUUGUGCAUGGAUGAAAAGCAAAAAAGUUUUUUUACCCAUCCCCAUGUUGGAAAAUACAUGGAAUACAGUUUCAGAGGUAUACAUUGAGAUGUUUUGGCAAUUAUAUUUACAAUUCAAUUAACGCCUUUUAAAGUUAAUUCAUUGCAGAGUAGGGACUGUUGAGAUAAGUCCCAGUCAUCUAUCAUUUAAAUAGCUUGUCCUCUGUAGGGUCACUGGAACCUAUCCCAGCAGAUAUCGAGCAAGAGUCUAUCGUAUAUACCUUUGACAGCUUACCAGUCAAUCACAGGGCUGAGCUAGAGGCUCUUUUUAAACACUUUACAACUAUAGUCUCCAGUUACUCAAAGUUGUAUGAGUUUAGCCUGUGGGAGGAAGUCAGCAUUUUCAGAGAGCACCCCCACAGACACAGUGAGAACCAACUGCAAAUAGAAAGGACCCAACCAGGUCAUGGGUUUGGCAUGCAAAAACUUAGAGAGUGCUGAUUAGAGAGUGCUGCUAGUGGUAACUGUGCCGCGCCUGUUAUAGAAACAUCCAUCCAUCCAUCCAUCCAUCCAUCCAUCCAUCCAUCCAUCCAUUUUCUUCACCGCUUAUCCUCACUAGGGUCCCGGGCUGCUGGAGCCUAUCCUGGCUAUCUUCGGGCGGGAGGCGGGGUACACCCUGAACCGGUCGCCAGCCAAUCGCAAGGCACAUGGAAAACAAACAACCAUUUGCACUCACAUUCACACCUACGGGCAAUUUAGAGUCUUCAAUCAACCUACCACACAUGUUUUUGGGAUGUGGGAGGAAACCGGAGUGCCCGGAGAAAACCCACGCAGGCACGGGGAGAACAUGCAAACUCCACACAGGCGGGGCCGGGGAUUGAACCGGGGUCCCCAGAACUGUUGAGGCAGAUGUGCUAACCAGUCGUCCACCGUGCCGGCUGUUAUAGAAACAAGUGAUCAUAAAAUAAAUAAUGGCACAUGAUUAAUCCUAAGGGUGUUAAUUAACUGGCAUCUCAAAGUAAAACUUGUAGACAGUUUGAACAAAGUAGUCUCACCAUGUAAUAAAUUCAACAGUGCAAGGGAUCUACUGUACAUAUUGCAAUGGUUUUGGCGCGUAAGAAGCAGACGUGCUUAAAUAAAAUCUUGUGGUCACGCACCUACAACCUAUUCUUUACAAUUGGUCAAGAGGAAAAUAAAAUAAAAACAUAUUUAGAAAAAUGUGAACAGCAAAUCUGCUGAAUUGGAGACAUUCAUCAACUAUCCAGAACUCUAUACAUCUGGAACAUUCAAAAUACCACCAUAUUCUUCUUAUAAGAUUAGUUUGGGGUGUACCCAAUGAUAGCCCUAUGUAUGACUGCAAACCAUCGGAGCCAUCUCGAGGUUUUUGGUACUCCAGAUUCGUGGUUCUCAAACUGGGGUCCCCAUACCUCGGGGGUCUGAAAGCUAUAGAUAAUUUACAAUAAAUUGUGUUAUGUCGCCAACUAAGCUCCAAUAAUGUCAGUUGUUCUCACAAAGCAAAGACAAUAUAUGCCUGUGAGUAUUGUUGUAUUCUCUGUUUGUGUGUUUUGCUACUCUGUUGUGUUAAAGUAGCAGGUUUAGAAUUUUCACGGCAUCAAUGACUCAAGCCCCUUGAUGGCGUUUCCUAUUGUUGUUAGCAUUGAACAAGCAUAUUUACGUUAGACGAAACUAUGUGAUUUGGUUGAACAUUUUGGUGUUUAUAUACAAAAUGUUUGUCUUUUAAUUUUUACAGUAAACUUCCCCUGGGAGUGACAAAUAAACAGCUUGA